rnacentral:lncRNA from 1 species
CUAGCUACAUCAAGAGAAAUUACGUCAAAAUUCAGCUUGGGGGAGAGCACCCCCAUUUAUCCCGAUAAGUAUUUCUAUCUAUCUUUAUACUUAUAUUAUUUUAGAAUAUAAAUAUACAUAACUAUGAAAAACCAAAUAAAGAUUUUGUGCUUAUAUAUAUCUUUUGCUUAGUAUGUUUAAUAAAUAAAUAAAGUGGCUAUGCUAAUUUGAAUCUUAAUAAUAAAACUCUAGCAUGGAUAUGAUGAAUAGUUGCUCUGCCUAAUUUGCAAUUUUGAAGUUCCCUCUCAAGUUUAAACAUAACUGUUAUAAUGUAAAGCUUGCUCUAGACCUAAACUUGUGGGAUGAAAACUUAUCUAAGUUAACGGAUACGAUAUGGGAAGGUUGAGCUACUGUUUAUCUGUUUCUAGAGAUGCUAGAAUUCUAGAGAAUUUUAUCUUUGGAAAUCUUUAAAAUGUUGCAUGAUGAGUUCCUGUAUGAUGAGAGUUUAAAUUCCUACCACAGCCAUAUAUACAUGCUUGCUAGACUUCGAGCCACACAAUUACUUUUUACUGCUUAUGAGCAUUGAGUGUGGUCAGGCUUUAUAGUCCCUUAGGAGCUUGUCAUGUGGUUAAAUCAAGAUUCACUUGCACGUUCACUCACAUGCUACUUCUACUCUGGAAGUACCAUCCACAUAUAUCCAUACAUUUCCAUCUCCAGAAUCACCCAAAAAUAUUCUACUCCUAAUCCGGGAGAGAAUAGCCAAAAAUAAUUUUGUUCUUCCUUGUGUGAUAAAUGCCUCAAGAUCAAUAAAGAGUAUUAUUAUUAUGUCUUGUGUGUCUCUACUUCAUUUUUGUGCAAGAAAGCAGAAAACAAGUAUGGGGGAGAUCCCUCGACAUGCUAAACACACUCCGACUACACCACUCCACGAUUCAGGUACACACUCUGCACACUUUACUUUACACAUAUAUAUAUUUUAGAUUAUGCAGAAUAUUGUUCCCGAUAUGAUAAAAUAAAAAGAUUAAAAUAUUUCUAAUCAUGAUUAAUCUCAAUAUUUCCUGAAGACUUGCGAUUAUUAUAAACUCAUUUUAAAACCCUGUGUUACUUAAGUCAAUUGGAAUAUGUGAUGGUAGAGUAUGAGUUUCUUAUUCUUGAUAUCAUUGUUACUUGGAGAAUUUAUUUCAAAAUAUUCAAAUUUCUAGCUACCAUCCUCAGUGUUUUAUAUGCCUGAUAAAACUGAAAAUAUUAAUUAUGAUUAUAAAAGCUAUCUGCUCUGUAUUGAGUUUGUUCAAAAUGAGUUAGACCCUUGUUGAGAGAUUUAUCAUGCUCCUAAGAUCAAGACAUUAUUUCAGUAAGAUUCACUCUUCCGAAGUAUUAUUGCAUUAGAGGCAUGGGCUAUGAAAAAAUAGAAAUAUUUCGAGGAAAUAAAAAGGAGCAAGUGCUCGAUAACCUCGCAGAAAAAAAAUGGACAAGUGUCCGACAGUAGAAUUAGGGGUACCUCGGUACCCACUUAAAAAAAAAGAGAAAAGAGAAAAAAAAUGAUAGCCCAUGGUCCCUCUAAUAAGCAAUAUGCCAGUAAGAGUUGACAAAGAUUUUAAUUUUCAAAGUCUUUGAUCUAAGAGUAUGACAUUUCCCUCCUCGGAUACCGUUUUGAUCAGUCAAUAAAUGCAAAGUAAGUAUGCUUGAGAAUUUUUGCAAAAUAAAACAGCCUCAGUGAGAUAUAUAUAAAAGAUAAUGAGUGAUCUGAGAGAACCUAUGAGGAUCAAAAAGGUAUGCUAACUUUCUUUCAAAAAUAUACAAAAACUCCAAGUGACAGGAUUGAAAAGAAAGAAUCUUUACUCUUAACCAUAUACUUCCCUGACUACAGUACACAGUGGAAUUUUAACACCCUGCAGAUUAUAAAGAGAAUAUUUUAAAUGUUUACCCCAGAUAUUGUUCUUAACCAUCCUUUUCUCGAGGACGAGUAAAAGCCUAAGUAUGGGGGUAUUUGUUGACGGUUCUUAAGUAUCAAUUUUAAUUAUCAAAUAAACAUGAGAAAGGACCAAUAUGCAACCAGCACCUAGGAUAAGGGUUUGAUCUGACAGAAUUCCACGAGUUUUGUUGUUUAUCUAUUUCUGCAGGGGGUUAUCAGGAAAUAAGGAAGAAAGGCCCACAUGUCGGGAUUACAUAGAGAUAUCAAUGCACCGCGUAAUUUUACAUCAUCUAGAAGACUCCAGAAGCCACGAGACCGAAGCGGAGGCAAAACUGGGCCAGGCCCAGGGCGCCCGCCCUGGUAGCCUGGGCGCCCGCCCCCCUGCUGGAACCAAUUCAGGACUCCUUCGCUCGGGAUAUCCCACCGACCUAUUGGACCAAGAAAAACAUAGUACCACCUCGGCUAUUGACCCAAAAACACAUAGAAGGGGAGGACUAUAUAAGCGAGGCCCCCCUGGCCCCUGGAGGAGACAUGAAGAAAUUAUCAUAGAGACUGAGGGGUGCCCUCGAAGGAAAACCUCUUCUCUAAUUAAUAUUUCUUUUUAGGCUUAGCAAUCAAUGUAAGGUAGAAAUAGAUCUUCUAGUUUCUACUAGAUUGAGAGAGAUAGAGUGGAGGU